GAUGAACGCUGGCGGCGUGCCUAAUACAUGCAAGUCGAGCGAACGGACGAGAAGCUUGCUUCUCUGAUGUUAGCGGCGGACGGGUGAGUAAGACGUGGAUAACCUACCUAUAAGACUGGGAUAACUUCGGGAAACCGGAUCUAAUACCGGAUGAUAUUUUGAACCGCAUGGUUCAAAAGUGAAAGACGGUCUUGCUGUCACUUAUAGAUGGAUCCGCGCUGCAUUAGCUAGUUGGUAAGGUAACGGCUUACCAAGGCAACGAUGCAUAGCCGACCUGAGAGGGUGAUCCGCCACACUGGAACUGAGACACGGUCCAGACUCCUACGGGAGGCAGCAGUAGGGAAUCUUCCACAAUGGGCGAAAGCCUGACGUAGCAACGCCGCGUGAGUGAUGAAGGUCUUCGGAUCGUAAAACUCUGUUAUUAGGGAAGAACAUAUGUGUAAGUAACUGUGCACAUCUUGACGGUACCUAAUCAGAAAGCCACGGCUAACUACGUG
rnacentral:rRNA from 1 species